GACGAACGCUGGCGGCGUGCUUAACACAUGCAAGUCGAGCGGUAAGGCCCUUCGGGGUACACGAGCGGCGAACGGGUGAGUAACACGUGGGUGAUCUGCCCUGUACUUCGGGAUAAGCCCGGGAAACUGGGUCUAAUACCGGAUAUGACCUCAGGAUGCAUGUCUUGUGGUGGAAAGAUUUAUCGGUACGGGAUGGGCCCGCGGCCUAUCAGCUUGUUGGUGGGGUAAUGGCCUACCAAGGCGACGACGGGUAGCCGACCUGAGAGGGUGACCGGCCACACUGGGACUGAGACACGGCCCAGACGCCUACGGGAGGCAGCAGUGGGGAAUAUUGCACAAUGGGCGGAAGCCUGAUGCAGCGACGCCGCGUGAGGGAUGACGGCCUUCGGGUUGUAAACCUCUUUCGACUCCGACGAAGCGAAAGUGACGGUAGGGGUAGAAGAAGCACCGGCCAACUACGUGCCAGCCGCCGCCGUAAAAC
rnacentral:rRNA from 1 species